CUGAUCUAUCUUCCUAUGUAUCUGAUGAAUGGUUUAUCCAGGGACUGGCAAAAGGAGAAAAACAAGAUGCAGAGGAAUGAGACUGAGAAUACCACAGUGUGAACAGUUUCCACAAAGUGCUUCAUUUUGGCUCCAGAUUACCCAGAGCUCCUAGGGAAACUGAGCCCGCACCUGGAGCGCCUCUCUGCUCCUCCCCGCGAGCGCCGCUGCAGCCCGGAGACGCCGGUAACCAGCGCCAGGUCUUCCACGCCCGACUCCUCCGGGGUCUGGGGCGCUGGACACCCGUCCUCCUCCUUUCUCCGGGAUUGGCCACGCUGGCAGCGUCGCGGUGUCCAGGUCAGAAGCACCCUGUUGGCUACUUCCUGCCUUAUGUGUGCACCUUCUACCACUUCCACCAGAUCC